GUCGGGUGUGGUGGCGCACACCUAUAAUCCCAGCGGCUCGGCUCAGGAGGCUGAGACAGGAGGAUCGUGAGUUCAAAACCAGCCGCAGCAAAAGCAAGGUACUCAGCAACUCAGUGAGACCCUGUCUCUA
rnacentral:sRNA from 1 species